AGUGAACGCUGGCGGUAGGCCUAACACAUGCAAGUCGAACGGCAGCACAGUAAGAGCUUGCUCUUACGGGUGGCGGGUGGCGGACGGGUGAGGAAUACAUCGGAAUCUACUUUUUCGUGGGGGAUAACGUAGGGAAACUUACGCUAAUACCGCAUACGACCUACGGGUGAAAGCAGGGGAUCUUCGGACCUUGCGCGAUUGAAUGAGCCGAUGUCGGAUUAGCUAGUUGGCGGGGUAAAGGCCCACCAAGGCGACGAUCCGUAGCUGGUCUGAGAGGAUGAUCAGCCACACUGGAACUGACACACGGUCCAGACUCCUACGGGAGGCAGCAGUGGGGAAUAUUGGACAAUGGGCGCAAGCCUGAUCCAGCCAUACCGCGUGGGUGAAGAAGGCCUUCGGGUUGUAAAGCCCUUUUGUUGGGAAAGAAAAGCAGCAGGUUAAUACCCCGCUGUUCUGACGGUACCCAAAGAAUAAGCACCGGCUAACUUCGUG
rnacentral:rRNA from 1 species